UUCGCAAUGCCCGAAAGGGUGACGAAGCGACGCCGCGUGUGGGAAGAAGGCCUUCGGGUUGUAAACCACUGUUGGGAGUUAGGAAGUGUGGGGGGUUAAUAGCGCCUUCACUUGACUAAAGCUCCAGAGGAAGCCACGGCUAACUCUGUGCCAGCAGCCGCGGUAAUACGGAGUGUGCGAGCGUUACUCGGAAUCACUGGGCAUAAAGCGCACGUAGGCGGGGAUACAUGUCCGUGGUGAAAUCCCCCAGCUCAACUGGGGAACUGCUUCGGAAACUGUGUCUCUUGAGGACGAGAAGGGAGAGUGGAACUUCUGGUGGAGCGGUGAAAUGCGUAGAUAUCAGAAGGAACACCGGUGGCGAAAACGACUCUCUGGCUCGUUUCUGACGCUAGGUGCGAAAGCUUGGGUAGCAAACAGGAUUAGAUACCCUGGUAGUCCAAGCUGUAAACGAUGGGCACUAAGUAGAGGGGUUUU
rnacentral:rRNA from 1 species